rnacentral:rRNA from 1 species
CCUACGGGUGGCAGCAGUGAGGAAUAUUGGUCAAUGGACGAGAGUCUGAACCAGCCAAGUCGCGUGAAGGAUGACUGCCCUAUGGGUUGUAAACUUCUUUUAUAUGGGAAUAAAAUGUUCCACGUGUGGGAGUUUGCAUGUACCAUAUGAAUACGGAUCGGCUAACUCCGUGCCAGCAGCCGCGGUAAUACGGAGGAUCCGAGCGUUAUCCGGAUUUCUUGGGUUUAAAGGGUGCGUAGGUGGGUUGUUAAGUCAGCUGUGAAAGUUUGCGGCUCAACCGUAAAAUUGCAGUUGAAACUGGCAGUCUUGAGUGUAGUAGAGGUGGGCGGAAUGCGUGGUGUAGCGGUGAAAUGCAUAGAUAUCACGAAGAACUCCGAUUGCGAAGGCAGCUCACUGGGCUAUAACUGACACUGAGGCUCGAAAGUGUGGGUAGCAAACAGGAUUAGAUACCCGAGUAGUC